rnacentral:rRNA from 1 species
AUUGAACGCUGGCGGCAGGCCUAACACAUGCAAGUCGAACGAGUGGCGGAAGGGUGAGUAAUGUCUGGGCAACUGCCUGAUGGAGGGGGAUAACAACUGGAAACGGUAGCCAAAACCGCCUACAAUCAGCUGUGCCCAGCUGGGAUUAGCUAGUUGGUGGGGUAACGGCUCACCAAGGCGACGAUCCCUAGCUGGUCUGAGAGGAUGACCGGCCACACUGGAACUGAGACACGGUCCAGACUCCUACGGGAGGCAGCAGUGGGGAAUAUUGCACAAUGGGCGCAAGCCUGAUGCAGCCAUGCCGCGUGUAUGAAGAAGGCCUUCGGGUUGUAAAGUACUUUCAGCGGGGAGGCGUUACCCGCAGAAGAAGCACCGGCUAACUCCGUGCCAGCAGCCGCGGUAAUAC